rnacentral:ncRNA from 1 species
CUCAUCAAGAGUAGCUGAGGGAAUGGCCCUAUGACGCUACAGCAACCGCUCCUUUGGGGAAUGGUGCUAAAUCCAUCAGUGUGAUGCUGACAGAUGAGG